rnacentral:misc_RNA from 1 species
GAUGAAGAACGUAGCAAAAUGCGGUAAGUAAUGUGAAUUGCAGAAUUCAGUGAAUCAUCGAAUCUUUGAACGCACAUUGCGCCCGCUGGUAUUCCGGCGGGCAUGCCUGUUCGAGCGUCAUUUCAACCCUCAAGCCCCCGGGUUUGGUGUUGGGGAUCGGCUCUGCCCUUCUGGGCGGUGCCGCCCCCGAAAUACAUUGGCGGUCUCGCUGCAGCCUCCAUUGCGUAGUAGCUAACACCUCGCAACUGGAACGCGGCGCGGCCAUGCCGUAAAACCCCAACUUCUGAAUGUUGACCUCGGAUCAGGUAGGAAUACCCGCUGAACUUAAGCAUAUCAAUAAGCGGAGGA